rnacentral:rRNA from 1 species
GACGAACGCUGGCGGCGUGCUUAACACAUGCAAGUAGAACGGAGAGGCGCUGAUUUUGCGCUGUUCUGAAGUGGCGAAAAGGGGAGUGUAACGUGAAUGAAAUGCGCUUUGCUUUGGGGUAACUUCAUGGAACUGGGUAUCAUACAGGGUAGGACAUCCGACGGCAUGGGGGAGUUAUGAGAGUUUCGCAGGUUGGGGAUGAAAACAUGGCUUAGCAGCGUGUUGGGUGGGAGGUGGAGUACCAGGUAUUUGAGGGGUAGCCGGCCUGAGAGGGUGACCGGCCACAGUGGGCCUGAGAUACGGCCCAGACUCCUACGGGAGGCAGCAGUGGGGAAUAUUGCACAAUGGGCGGAAGCCGGAUGCAGCAACGCCGCGUGGGGGAUGACGGCUUUAGGUUUGUAAACCGCGUGCGCCUGUGACGAAGCGUGAGUGACGGUAAUGGGUAAAGAAGCACCGGCUAACUACGUG